rnacentral:rRNA from 1 species
UUGAUCUCAAAUCAGGUAGGACUACCCGCUGAACUUAAGCAUAUCAAUAAGCGGAGGAAAAGAAACUAACAAGGAUUCCCCUAGUAACUGCGAGUGAAGCGGGAAGAGCUCAAAUUUAAAAUCUGACGUGCCUCUGGUCGUCCGAGUUGUAGUCUGGAGAAGCGUCUUCCGUGUUGGACCGUGUAUAAGUCUCUUGGAACAGGGCGUCAUAGAGGGUGAGAAUCCCGUCUUUGACACGGACUACCAAUGCUUUGUGAUGCGCUCUCAAAGAGUCGAGUUGUUUGGGAAUGCAGCUCAAAAUGGGUGGUAAAUUCCAUCUAAAGCUAAAUAUAGGCGAGAGACCGAUAGCGAACAAGUACCGUGAGGGAAAGAUGAAAAGCACUUUGGAAAGAGAGUUAAACAGUACGUGAAAUUGCUGAAAGGGA